rfam:Oryza barthii chromosome 3, whole genome shotgun sequence.
AGGGAGUAUAACCAUAAGUUUUGGUAUCCAACUUUAAUUAUCCAUCUUAUUUAAAAUAUUUUUAUGAUUAGUAUUUUUAUUGUUAUGAGAUGAUAAAAUAUAAAUAGUACUUAUGUUUUUAAAUUUUUUUUACAAAUUUUUUAAAUAAGAUGGACGGUUAAAAUUGUGCACGGAAAAUCAUGGCUACACUUAAA